AGAGUUUGAUCCUGGCUCAGAGCGAACGCUGGCGGCGUGCUUAACACAUGCAAGUCGAACGAGUGUAGCGAUACAUUCGUGGCGAACGGGUGCGUAACACGUGGAUAACCUUCCUUCAGGUGGGGAAUAACCCAGUGAAAAUUGGGCUAAUACCGCAUAACAUCGCGAUGGCACAUGCCGUUGCGCUCAAAGCCGCAAGGCGCCAGAAGAGGGAUCCGCGGCCGAUUAGCUUGUUGGCGGGGUAACGGCCCACCAAGGCUUUGAUCGGUAUCCGGACUGAGAGGUUGGCCGGACACACUGGAACUGAGGCACGGUCCAGACUCCUACGGGAGGCAGCAGUGGGGAAUCUUGCACAAUGGGCGAAAGCCUGAUGCAGCAACGCCGCGUGGGGGAUGAAGCUUCUCGGAGUGUAAACCCCUUUCGACCCGGACGAAAGCCCGCAAGGGUUUGACGGUACGGGUAUAAGAAGCCCCGGCUAACUACGUGCCAGCAGCCGCGGUAAUACGUAGGGGGCCAGCGUUGCUCGGAAUUACUGGGCGUAAAGGGUCCGUAGGCGGUGUGGUAAGUCGAUAGUGAAAUCUCUGGGCUUAACUCAGAGGCUGCUAACGAAACUACCAUGCUAGAGUGUGAGAGAGGCGAGUGGAAUUACGGGUGUAGCGGUGAAAUGCGUAGAUAUCCGUAGGAACAUCCGAGGCGAAAGCGGCUCGCUGGAUCACAACUGACGCUGAGGGACGAAAGCUAGGGGAGCAAACAGGAUUAGAUACCCUGGUAGUCCUAGCCCUAAACCAUCAGACUUGGGGUUUGCCCUGUACGGGGCAAGUCCCGUAGCUAACGCGUUAAGUCCUGCGCCUGGGGAGUACGUCGCAAGGCUGAACUCAAGGAAUUGACGGGGGCCCGCACAAGCGGUGGAACAUGUGGUUCAAUUCGACGCAACGCGAAGAACCUUACCUGGGCU
rnacentral:rRNA from 1 species